AUAUGCUACACCGAUCCCUCUCCCACUUGAACAGAGGCAGUAGUGCUGUAAGAAUUAUGUUUCUGGACUUCUCUAGCACCUUCAACACCAUCCAACCUCUGCUCCUUAGGGACAAGCUGACAGAGAUGGGAGUAGAUUCAUACCUGGUAGCAUGGAUCGUGGACUAUCUAAAAGACAGACCUCAGUAUGUGCGUCUCGGGAACUGCAGGUCUGACAUUGUGGUCAGCAAGACAGGAGCGCCGCAGCGGACUGUACUUUCUCCGGUCCUGUUCAACCUAUAUACAUCAGACUUCCAAUACAACUCAGAGUCCUGACAUGUGCAAAAGUUCGCUGACGACACUGCUAUCAUGGGCUGCAUCAGGAGUGGACAGGAGGAGGAGUAUAGGAACCUCAUCAAGGACUUUGUUAAAUGGUGUGACUCAAACCAGCUACACCUGAACACCAGCAAAACCAAGGAGGUGGUGGUGGAUUUUAGGAGGCCCAGGCCCCUCAUGGACCCCGUGAUCAUCAGAGGUGACUGUGCAGACCUAUAAAUACCUGGGAGUGCAGCUGGAUGAUAAACUGGACUGGACUGCCAAUACUGAUGCUCUGUGCAAGA